UCUUCGCUAGUAUAUCGGUUAGUAUAACCGCCUCUCAUAUGGAGAGAGUCAAGGUCCUCUGGACGACGACACAUCGCGGUAGAGCAGGGUUCAACUCCCUGGCGGAGAA